AUACGGAGGAUCCAAGCGUUAUCCGGAUUUAUUGGGUUUAAAGGGUGCGCAGGCGGAAGAUUAAGUCGGCGGUGAAAUUUUGCAGCUCAACUGUAAAAGUGCCAUUGAUACUGGUUUUCUUGAGUGUGGAUGAAGUAGGCGGAAUUUGAGGUGUAGCGGUGAAAUGCAUAGAUAUCACGAGGAACUCCGAUUGCGCAGGCAGCUUACUAGGCCAUAAAUGACGCUCAGGCACGAAGGCGUGGGGAUCAAACAGGAUUAGAUACCCUGGUAGUCCACGGAGUAAACGAUGAUUACUCGCUGUUUGCGAUUCACAGUAAGCGGCUUAGCGAAAGCGUUAAGUAAUCCACCUGGGGAGUACGUUCGCAAGAAUGAAACUCAAAUGAAUUGACGGGG
rnacentral:rRNA from 1 species